GCCCCGUAAGUUUAAAGCCCUUCUGCCCUGAAAUAAAAUGUGCUUCUGUAUAUUUUCCCUGAACAUUUUAAUCUUUGGGUAGUGUUUCAUGUUUGAUAUGCUGCAUCCACUCCCAUUCACUGGAAGCAUACCUGUCAUUCAGCACGUGUGUGAGUAGAAUAGCUUCAUGGCUACGUGGCCUUCACACAUCUCUCCAUUAUUUAUGUUGAUGUCCAGGAGAGGCAGGUCAGACAGACCUCCACCAGCCACCAAAGUACACACUGACCCAGAGCUCCUGUUUCCUGUACAAUGGAGUCAACCCGAUCAACCUGUCUUCUGUCUGGAGUCCAGCAUUGUCUCAGGGGGGUCAGAGUCCAUCUGGAGGCUGAAGACCAGGGCCACCGAUUUCACAACCGCAAGACAUUCCAGCCCGAGGCCAGGCCCGUUAUCUCACGGCCACUGUUGGUUUCCACAGCGCCGGAUCCUACUGGAAGGCGCCGCAGCAGCCUGUCUGGCUGAGCCUAUCCGCGCUCCGCGCCCCAUCUGAUGGGAUUCUGCAGAGCUAAUGGAUAAGACUGGCGCUCCUGUCAAUCAAGCAGUAUCUUGUCUAUUCAUUAUCGUGUCCUUUGUUUUGCGGUGGACACGUGCUCCCCUCGUUUCCUGCGUGGAAUGAGGAUGGACAGAUCGAGCGUCUCCUGAGGAAAUGGAGCGUUAGAUGCCGUUUUCCCUGAUAAAUGCUGUCACUUCUCCCAUGGCUUCAGGGGAGCGGUUCACACUGAAGCCAUAUGGAAGAUCCCAGAAAAAGAAGUUAAAAGUGGUUUUCAGUUUUGACACAUUACAUCUAUUUAAGCGUCACUUUCCUGGUCAUACUUCCCAGAACAGGUCCAUAAAAAGAUAAUAUGUUUUAUGAUGGACACAUUAAUAUCCUUUUUGUCUAUAUUAAUCUCAGUGCAGUGCCCUUUCUCACUCUCCUCUCACUCUUUUUAACAUCGAAAUAACAACAAUGUAGCAGAAAGGAGCUCCAGUAAAAUAUACUGCAACUUACAAGACUGAUAUUUGUUUAUGUGUGCGUGUGUAUGUGUGUGUGUGUGUGUGU
rnacentral:lncRNA from 1 species